rnacentral:rRNA from 1 species
GACGAACGCUGGCGGCGUGCCUAAUACAUGCAAGUUGAGCGAUGAAGAUUGGUGCUUGCACCAAUUUGAAGAGCAGCGAACGGGUGAGUAACGCGUGGGGAAUCUGCCUUUGAGCGGGGGACAACAUUUGGAAACGAAUGCUAAUACCGCAUAACAACUUUAAACAUAAGUUUUAAGUUUGAAAGAUGCAAUUGCAUCACUCAAAGAUGAUCCCGCGUUGUAUUAGCUAGUUGGUGAGGUAAAGGCUCACCAAGGCGAUGAUACAUAGCCGACCUGAGAGGGUGAUCGGCCACAUUGGGACUGAGACACGGCCCAAACUCCUACGGGAGGCAGCAGUAGGGAAUCUUCGGCAAUGGACGAAAGUCUGACCGAGCAACGCCGCGGGAGUGAAGAAGGUUUUCGGAUCGUAAAACUCCGUUGGUAGAGAAGAACGUUGGUGAGAGUGGAAAGCUCAUCAAGUGACGGUAACUACCCAGAAAGGGACGGCUAACUACGUG